GACGAACGCUGGCGGCGUGCCUAAUACAUGCAAGUAGAACGCACAGUUUAUACCGUAGCUUGCUACACCAUAGACUGUGAGUUGCGAACGGGUGAGUAACGCGUAGGUAACCUGCCUGGUAGCGGGGGAUAACUAUUUGAAACGAUAGCUAAUACCGCAUAAUAUUUAUUAUUGCAUGAUAAUUAAUUUAAAUUUGCAAUUUCACCACUACCAUAUUGACCUGCGUUGUAUUAGCUAGUAGGUGAGGUAACGGCUCACCUAGGCGACGAUAGAUAUCCGAAGGGAGAGGGGGAUGGGCCAAAAUGGGAAGGAGAAAAGGCACAGAAGCAGAAGGGAGGGAGCAGUAGGGAAACGGCGGCAAUGGACGAAAGUGUGACCGAGAAAAGACGAGGGAGUGAAGAAGGUUUUCGGAUCGUAAAGCUCUGUUGUAAGAGAAGAAAGGGUGUGAGAGUGGAAAGUACACAGUGUGACGGUAACUUACAAGAAAGGGACGGCUAACUACGUG
rnacentral:rRNA from 1 species